UUUACUCCUUAUUCUCGUUAAAUUAAAAAAUUUUACUUCAUUUAAAAUUUUUUGCACUUUCUGUUAAUUUAUAUGUAUUUAUAGAAUGAAGAGGAGGUACAUCCUAUAAAAUGGCUUAGAGAAAGGGAUAAUAUUGCCAAUCAACUUUUGGAUAAUUUCAUGGAGGCACUUGCAGCAAUUUCACAGAAAGUUGUGGAACCACCUCUUCCUUUCUGUCUAUCCUCUUCCUUAUGGACUGCAGAUUAAAGCAUGAUUUUGAUCUGGAUUAGCCUUUCAGUUAGUGUGAGAAUGCCUGAAAUAUGAGUUCAGCAAAAAGGAUAGAACUAAAGUGAGUUUAAGGUCAUUCUUGGAAUUCUGUGUUGUCAAAUUCAAAAAUUGAAUUUAAAAGUGGCAGUUGUGCCAUUAGAAUGGAUCAUUGAUGAUAAAAACGCAAAAGCAGUUAGAUAUGUAUUUGUUGGUUUUUGCCUAAUGUUUAAAGAAGAGUGUCUUACAAAAAGUUGAACCAACUCACAGGACUCUAUUGAAGGACUACCAGGACUCUAAUGAAAUUGUGUGUCUAUGAAGUUGUGUUUGAGAACCUGAUGAUAGAACAUAUAUGAUGAGCAUCAAUAACCUCUUUAAUACUGUGAUUAGAAAUUAUUUAAAAUAUUUUCAACGAAACCAAAGGAGAUCUGGAAUUUAACUCCAGCAAAAAUGAUUUAAGAACAUUUUUAGUAAUUUUGAAAUCAACUUGAAUGUUGUGAAUCGACAUGGUACUCAAAAAUGUUCACACCUUCAUUUUAAAUAAUACUUCUGUAUCCUCAGUAUUUUGAAUAAACUAGUUUCAUGAGUGAUGUUUA
rnacentral:lncRNA from 1 species